GCACUGCCGAAGAGUCCCACAAUAGAACGAAACGGCCGUUCAGUGC
rnacentral:hammerhead_ribozyme from 1 species